GGGUAUAGUUCAGUUGGUAGAAUAUCGGUCUCCAAAACCGCAGGUCGUGGGUUCAAGUCCUACUGCCC
rnacentral:tRNA from 1 species